rnacentral:rRNA from 1 species
CCCCGCCUGGGGAGUACGGGUGAGGUAACGGCUCACCAAGGCAUUGACGGGUAGCUGGUCUGAGAGGAUGAUCAGCCACACUGGGACUGAGACACGGCCCAGACUCCUACGGGAGGCAGCAGUGGGGAAUAUUGCACAAUGGGCGAAAGCCUGAUGCAGCAACGCCGCGUGCGGGAUGAAGGCCCUAGGGUUGUAAACCGCUUUCAGCAGGGAAGAAAAUGACGGUACCUGUAGAAGAAGGUGCGGCCAACUACGUGCCAGCAGCCGCGGUAAUACGUAGGGUGCAAGCGUUGUCCGGAAUUAUUGGGCGUAAAGGGCUCGUAGGCGGUUUGUCGCGUCUGCUGUGAAAAUCCGAGGCUCAACCUCGGACCUGCAGUGGGUACGGGCAAACUAGAGUGCGGUAGGGGAGAUUGGAAUUCCUGGUGUAGCGGUGGAAUGCGCAGAUAUCAGGAGGAACACCAAUGGCGAAGGCACAUCUCUGGGCCGUAACUGACGCUGAGGAGCGAAAGCGUGGGGAGCGAACAGGAUUAGAUACCCUGGUAGUCCACGCCGUAAACGGUGGGUGCUAGCUGUGGGCCACAUUCCACGUGGUCCGUGACGAAGUUAACACAUUAAGCACCCCGCCUGGGGAGUACGG